GCCAGCGUGGCAUAGUGGUUUGAGCGUUGGACUAUGACUCUGGAGAACAGGGUUUGAAUCCUGGCACAGCCA